GACGAACCGUGCGAACGUUAUUCGGAAUCACUGGGCUUGAAGGGCGCGUAGGCGGGCACGCAAGUCUGGGGUGAAAUCCCGCGGCUCAACCGCGGAAGUGCCCCCGAUACUGCGUGCCUCGAGGGGUGCAGGGGCAUGCGGAACUCGGGGUGGAGCGGUGAAAUGCGUAGAUAUCCCGAGGAACACCGGUGGCGAAGGCGGCGUGCUGGACACCCUCUGACGCUGAGGCGCGAAAGCCAGGGGAGCGAACGGG
rnacentral:rRNA from 1 species